CGGGCCGGGCCGGGGCGGGGUCUCGGGCAGGGGCGGGGAGCUUACCGACCUCCCGCCCCCGCUGCGCGCGUUUCUGGCCCUGCCAGUGUCUCCGCCGGUUGAAAGCGCGUGUCUGCGUCGGGUUCUGUUGGAGUGCGUUCGGUGCGCCGUGGGUCCGCGCUGCUUCCACCCAACUUCCUGUUAGUUUCUCUCCUGUCACAAUGGCAUGAUCUCGGCUCACUGCGACCUCUGCUUCCUGGGUUCAAGGAUUCUCCUGCCUCAGCCUCCCAAGUAGCUGGGAUUACAGUUUCCAUCAUUAUCUUCUAUGGAGUUCUUCAUUCCCACAUCUGUGGACCUUAAAAUCCUACCGUUGAGUGCCUGCCUUGGAUCAGCAGUCAGUUCGUUACCUUGGUUCUCAGACGAUGCUUGCAACAACGCCAUGCGAUUCGCCCACUCUUGGGUUACAUUAGUUAUACACUCUGGAGGUGACUUGACCUGUCAUUGUGAACAAUUAUUGCUCUUGGACGACCCAGGACAUAGGCCAGCCAGUACGUACCCCAGUGUGUUGGAGAAUCGCGCUCGGCUUCUUCCUCUGUGCUGAGUCAUGAAAGUUGCCGGAGCAGGUGCAGUUACACAACCUCCAGACAUCUAGGCUUGCUGUCAAGGCUUCUGAUCAACAUGAGAUGACCGCCGUGUGGUAAACUGAUGAACCCUGACCCUGAUCAACAUGAGAUGACCGCCGUGUGGUAAACUGAUGAACCCCGACCCUGAUGAACGUGAGAUGACCGCCGUGUGGUAAACUGAUGAACCCCGACCCUGAUGAACGUGAGAUGACCGCCGUGUGGUAAACUGAUGAACCCCGACCCUGAUGAACGUGAGAUGACCGCCGUGUGGUAAACUGAUGAACCCCGACCCUGAUGAACGUGAGAUGACCGCCGUGUGGUAAACUGAUGAACCCCGACCCUGAUCAACGUGAGAUGACCGCCGUGUGGUAAACUGAUGAACCCCGACCCUGAUGAACAUGAGAUGACCGCCGUGUGGUAAACUGAUGAACCCCGACCCUGAUCAACAUGAGAUGACCGCCGUGUGGUAAACUGAUGAACCCCGACCCUGAUCAACAUGAGAUGACUGCCGUGUGGUAAACUGAUGAACCCUGACCCAUUAGGCUUUGGCUACAGAAUGUGGAAAUAAGUUGUGUUACUACAUGUGUGUAAUCCUAGGGUGCAGGACACCGGCCGGGAGGUUCCAUAGAGUGAUGGGUUCUGCAGGUAACUCAUCCUCUAGUCCUCUGUAAGCUCCUAGAAGGAAGAAAUUAUGUCCUUUAGACUAAUAAAAUUCCUCCAAACCAAAUACAGCACCUACUGUGAAGACACAAAGAUACUUUUAGAAUAGUAAAAACUUUAUCCAUUGAGAAAUUCCUUAAUGAAACAGUAUCCAAGAAGUCAUUUGCCAGCAGAUUUCUUAGAGGUGCGAUAAAGAAGAGGACAUUGCCAGUCGUCACAGCAGCUGCAAUAGCUCCUCUCUAUUGUUAAACAGUGGGAUAUCUUGUGCAGGUUUUCAGUUGACAAUCAAUUUUAAAGAUUAGUUUCGGUCCCCAUCAAUCAAUUAUUUAUUAACCCAUCAAUAAAAAUUUAAAUGCUCUGUGAGGUACAAUAGCUAUUAAAAGAGACAGAGGCACUUUCUGUGUCCAGAGGGGCUUUUAGUCUGCUCUGGAAAGCAAGAUGCGUGCAGAUGAGUGACGCAGUGCAUCGUGUGGAUGCAAAGGGAGGGACUCACAUGGGAACCAGAGGAGCUACGAAGGGAGGCAGUGGGGACUGGUGGGUCGAGACCUGGAAAUAACACAUGAAUAGGCAACAAAGGUUUCCUUUCCUCUUCCAUGCACUUCAGUCCUUGAAAAACGUCUUACCACGGAAUUCCACAGCGUACCAAGCGAUUCCACAGCUUGAUGGCACACUCUCCUUUCUCAGCAUUCUUGAAAAUGGCGUGUGAGCCAAGCCAUCUUACUGAGAAAUUACCUUAAACCAUUUGAUGAACCAAAAAUAUUUUGUAAUACCCAUCUCCGACAUUAGGUAGGCAAAUCACACAGAAACACCGAGGUCUUCUGAGUCAUAUUUAUCUGAAAAAUCACAGCUUGGGUGCAUGUGAAGCCAGAGGAGCACUCCUGGGGCCUGCGGUGCCAUCACUCAGCUCCCCUGGGCUUCACAUGGCCAUGGAGCACCCAGCAAGUGUAGGCUCUGAGCCUUCAGGGAGGGGCGGCAUCAGCCAGCACCAUCGUCUCCUGGGUCUUGUGCCUCUUCCUUGGUUGCGGUGUUGUCAGGGCCAGAAUUGGGCAAUUCCGGGUGACAUCCAGGUGUGGCUGCUGACACGGAGCACAGGUGAGGUUCACUGAGGACACCCUGCUCCUGUGGUUUGCAGCCCCGGCCUUCUCUUCGAGGACGCCUCUGCUCUUCUGCCUCACACUCGGAUUGGACCUUCUUCAGCACAGCCAGUGGCCGAGGCUUCCUCCCUGGGGCUCAGUGGAGCAGGACAGAUGCUGCAUCCAAACUCUUCCAUUGGGUUCCAGUCUGUUCCAGUCAUGCCCUUGAGCCUCUAAAGCUCCUAGGUGAGAGACGUAGCAGCUGACAGCACUUCCCACUUGAUUUGGGUGGACUCCAGCCUCCCCAGCAACAAUAAGAGAUCAAAAGCAUCGUUGAGGAAGCAGCUUGCUGAAACGCUGAGUGCCCGCCACUCUCAGGUCAGGUGGGACCGGCAGGCCAGCAUGAGUUCCUGAACACUUGGUUCUCAAUACUGGCCACAGCCACACUGUAAGGGGAAACAAGAGGGCACUGUAUGCAAACAUCUCUUGAACUCUGGAGUCUGCUCACCUUCCUGCCUCAAGCCCCUCUCCCACGUGGUCCAGUCACCAUUCUCCACAGAGACUACCCUAAAACCCAGCGACUCUCGUGUGCCUGCAGAAUGGCACAGCCCGUUCUCAUAGCAGCACUCCUGUUUAAUCAGAGGGAUGUUAACGACCAAGUCAUAUUUGCUCGAUUUGUGUUCAACAUAUUUCAUUUGUACCGAUAAAACUUAAAAAUAUCCCCACACAUGCAUUGCCUAUUAAAGAGUAUCUUCCAGGUACACCUCCCUUACACAUCAGUUAACUUGAUAAUUUCUUCCCAUUCUUGUGCAAUAAAUUUCCUUCCUGAUCAGCUCUGUCCAGCAGCAACAAUAAUCCACGUAGAGACAUGCAAACUAAAAGUCCGUUAGUGGAGGCACGAAGCUGAUGAGGCUUGGAAAAAAAUGACCGAUUUGAUUAAAAUUAGGACCCAUGGGAGUGGAGCUCUGCCUAUUUUAGAGGCAAAGUAAAUGCCUGGGAGUCCAAUCACCGACAUUCUGUUUGAGGUUUCUAAUCACAAGGAAGAUGGAGAAAAUGCAGAACAAGUGGUCAAGAACAGGGAGAUAAUAAAUAGAAUAUUUAUGGGCUGAGGAAAACAAUUACCAGGGGAAAGCCCAAGAAGCAAAGAUGAACAGAGAACGUGCUGACUGCGCUCGUUUGGAAAGGCCUCAUGGCCAAAGGAGGAGAGGCAUUAUGAGGAGCAGUGACCGAGUGGGCAGGACCCCCGGGGAUCAGGAAAGGUGCACGGGGGGAAAUGAGAGGCCUGAGCGGCUUCCCAGCGAAGGUUUUUGAAGCACGGUUUGAUUUUCUCUCUCCCCCUCACCAUCCCCAAAUUUUAGUUGUGACUAUCUCCAGGUACAUGGCUUGCGACAGGCGGUGUAUAAAAACUAAUGUCAGUUUAAUUUUAAAACCUUAGCCAUUUUCUGGAACUUAAAUAUCAAAGAGAAAAUGUCCACAUAUGAUGUUAAUUGAGGUUUGUCUCACUGGUGAUUUGUGCUGAUUCAAUUCCUGUUUCUUUUUUUUUUUCUUAAGGGGUCAGUUUUAGAAUUGGGAGAUAGGUGUAUAACAUAUGACUAUACAGCGCAGGUUGGUUUUUUAACAUAGAAAUAUCUGCCUUUAAAUGAGAACUGAAAACGGAGCUUCUUGGAGGCCACCUGCUGGUGGCAGUGAUCUGACCGCUGUUUAAGCUUUCUUUGAACUCCUUUUUUUAAAACAGCCUCCAUAAUCAAUGGUGUACGAUCUACUCUCGUGGUAAAACUUACUCAGUGAAGAGUGUGUUUUAUUUUCUGAGGAGCUGAACUGUUCCAACCUGAGUAUUCUGAAUAAGGACAGUGGUCGAGCAUGAGUGAUGCCAUCUGGGCUUAGAAAUAAGUGGGCCUAAAAUCUGAUUGUUUUCAUACAUUGUUCAGAUAUUGACGCAAAUAGCAAUUUAUUUUGUAAAAAAUGAUUGGUAUCCGGAACUUGCAACAGCUGUGUGUGGCUUGAAGGGAGAUGAAGUGGUGAAGGCCUGGUUUCCACCGAAGCUCUCACAGCCCAGCCUUUCACUGUGUGGCCGGGGGAAGGGUGCUCCGGGUGGGGGACGGGAAUGGUGGGACUGGGGAUGCCACGGGACAAGGCUGCUGGCCUGGAAGGUAGUCACGUGGAGAACCGCAGGAGAUGAGAUUGGAAAGUAGUAAUAAGCCAUGUGGAUAAGAACAGAGGAGCGGGUUUUAAGGGGGACGUCCUGAAAUGCUGCUCAUGUCGUUUCAGUUCCAUAGACCACAGGAAAUGCAGGUGAGAGGGCAGCCCGGUGGGAAGGAAGGAAGAGGGUGGUGGUGAGCCAGGUGAGUGUGGAGCCGCCCAGGGCACCGUGCUGUGCGAUAGCUCAGGCAUCGGGUGCUUCUGCCAAACCCUUCAGCAGCUGGUUUGGGGCCAAACGUCCUUCCUGUGUGAGAGAAGGCAGAGCCUAGGCAGCAUUCCAAACCCCAUCCAGAUGGGAGGCUGAGUGCAGAGCAAACGGAGCCCAGCACUCCAGAGCCGUGUCCCUUCACUGCCAUGAUCACAUCACAAACAGCGAGGCUUGGAGAGGACUUAAGAGCUCCUUCAAUGCCAUCUUCCAUCCACUGCGUGAGCCAGAAUAGAAAAAAAGGAAUAAGAAGAGGUCGGUUAAGCUCUCUAUUAAGUUGAGAAAAUGGGAACUUCAGGUGAUCAUGUGAGAUAUUCAAGUUAAAAAAAUUAUUUAAAAAGCACAUUCUUAUUAUUAAAAUUUUAGAAAGUACAGAGAAGGAAAUUUUAAUAACCUACACCUAGAACACUAAGAUACUGGUAACGUAGAAAAAUGUGUAGUUAAUGCCUUGAUGGAUUCUUUUCUAUUUUUUUCUCUAGCAAUAUUUAUGUCUAUCCACAGAAAGCGUACACUCAUGUAUUUGCAUGGCUAAUAUAUUUUAUGUAAAGUUCUAUAUAUUUCUCAACAUUUCACUUAAUAUUUCUUUAUAAACAUUUUUCCAGUGAAUAAAAAUUUUUCCAAACAGUA
rnacentral:lncRNA from 1 species